rnacentral:rRNA from 1 species
UAACGGCGAGUGAAGCGGCAACAGCUCAAAUUUGAAAUCUGGCGGCCUCUGGGCCGUCCGAGUUGUAAUUUGAAGAGGAUGCUUUUGGCGAGGCGCCUUCCGAGUGCCCUGGAACGGGACGCCACAGAGGGUGAGAGCCCCGUAUGGUUGGACGCCGAGCCUCUGUAAAGCUCCUUCGACGAGUCGAGUAGUUUGGGAAUGCUGCUCAAAAUGGGAGGUAAACCCCUUCUAAAGCUAAAUACUGGCCAGAGACCGAUAGCGCACAAGUAGAGUGAUCGAAAGAUGAAAAGCACUUUGAAAAGAGAGUUAAACAGCACGUGAAAUUGUUGAAAGGGAAGCGCUUGCGACCAGACUUGUGCCCGUCGAAUCAGCCGCCGCUCGUCGGCGGCGCACUUCGGCGGGCUCAGGCCAGCAUCAGUUCGCUGCAGGGGGAGAAAGGCGAUGGGAAUGUGGCUCUUCGGAGUGUUAUAGCCCGCCGCGCAAUACCCCUCGGCGGACUGAGGACCGCGCAUCUGCAAGGAUGCU